rnacentral:rRNA from 1 species
UGUGCCAGCAGCCGCGGUAAUACGUAGGGUGCAAGCGUUAUCCGGAAUUAUUGGGCGUAAAGAGCUCGUAGGCGGUCUGUCGCGUCUGCUGUGAAAACCGGAGGCUCAACCUCCGGCCUGCAGUGGGUACGGGCAGACUAGAGUGCGGUAGGGGAGAUUGGAAUUCCAGGUGUAGCGGUGGAAUGCGCAGAUAUCAGGAGGAACACCGAUGGCGAAGGCAGAUCUCUGGGCCGUAACUGACGCUGAGGAGCGAAAGCGUGGGGAGCGAACAGGAUUAGAUACCCUGGUAGUCCACGCCGUAAACGUUGGGAACUAGAUGUGGGGUCCAUUCCACGGAUUCUGUGUCGCAGCUAACGCAUUAAGUUCCCCGCCUGGGGAGUACGGCCGCAAGGCUAAAACUCAAAGGAAUUGACGGGGGCCCACACAAGCGGCGGAGCAUGCGGAUUAAUUCGAUGCAACGCGAAGAACCUUACCAAGGCUUGACAUAUACCGGAAACGGCUGGAAACAGUCGCCCCGCAAGGUCGGUAUACAGGUGGUGCAUGGUUGUCGUCAGCUCGUGUCGUGAGAUGUUGGGUUAAGUCCCGCAACGAGCGCAACCCUCGUUCUUUGUUGCCAGCACGUAAUGGUGGGAACUCAAAGGAGACUGCCGGGGUCAACUCGGAGGAAGGUGGGGAUGACGUCAAAUCAUCAUGCCCCUUAUGUCUUGGGCUUCACGCAUGCUACAAUGGCCGGUACAAAGGGCUGCAAUACCGUAAGGUGGAGCGAAUCCCAAAAAGCCGGUCUCAGUUCGGAUUGAGGUCUGCAACUCGACCUCAUGAAGUCGGAGUCGCUAGUAAUCGCAGAUCAGCAACGCUGCGGUGAAUACGUUCCCGGGCCUUGUACACACCGCCCGU